rnacentral:lncRNA from 1 species
CAGACAGGGAGGGAGAGAUAGAUAGAGAUGGGCAGGGAGACGGAGAGAAAGCGAGGGGGAGACUGAGAGACAGGGAGGGAGAGAGAGAGAUGGAGAGAGGGAGGAGCAACUGAGAAGAGGGGGGUGAGAGAUCGAGACAGGGGCAGAGACACAGGACAGGGAUGGAGGGAUCCAGAGACAGGGAGGGAGGGACAGACAGACCAAGAGACAGGGAGGGAGAGAUGGGACAGAGGGGAGAGACCACGGUGCAGGGAGGGAGACCCAGAGACAGGAGGGGAGACUGAGACAGGGAGGGAGAGUCAGAGACAGGGAGGGAGGAGAGACUGAGACAGAGAUGGGAUGGAGAGAAUGAGACAGGGAGGGAGACAAGUGAGAGACCGAGAGACAAGGAGGUAGACACAGAGACAGGGAGGGACAGGCCAAGAUAGGGAGUGAGAGAAGAAAGACUGGAGGGAGAGAGAGAGAGACAGACAGGGGUGGAGGGGAGUGGGAGAGAGACAGGGCCAGACCCCAGACCCGGAGGGAGAGACAGAGACCGGGUCGGAGGGACAGGGAGGGAGACACAGAGCCAGAGAGAGGCUUCGUGCCUCCCUGAGCAGGAGUCCCUCGGGACUGAGCGGGUGGCACUGAGCAGGUGGCGCAAGGCCUCGGACCCGGCGCCCCGACCAGACUAGCGUGGGGAGGCAGAGGCGGUCUCUGGUCCCCUCUAGGCUCCAGGGAGGGCCGGCUGCUGUGUGGGGGGGCUUGGCCGGGAGCUUGGCCAGGGCGUGGCCGGGGCGUGGCCGGAGCUUGCCCCAGCACCUGACCCGGAGCAUGGCCUGAGGGGGGCCAGGGCGUGGCCGCGGGAGGAGCUGGGCCCAGACAUGGCGACCCGACUGGACCAGAUGGACCCGACCCAGCCAUCCCCCUGGCAGGAGGUUGCGCGGCCGCGCCACCGCUCCAGGCCCGCGGUUCCCGGCGCUGCGGGCUCCCGGCAGCGGCUCUGCAGGCCUCGGCCCCGGCGCGCAGAUCUGAUCAGUCACAUGGAGUAUUUGACGAGUGUAGAACCAGCCUUGCGUCCCAGGGAUAAAUGCCACCUGGUCAUCGUGAGUAACUUCUCAAUGUACUGUUGGAUCCUAUUGGCUCGUAUCUUUUUUU